AUUGAACGCUGGCGGAAUGCUUUACACAUGCAAGUCGAACGGCAGCACGGACUUCGGUCUGGUGGCGAGUGGCGAACGGGUGAGUAAUGUAUCGGAACGUGCCCAGUCGUGGGGGAUAACGUAGUGAAAAUUACGCUAAUACCGCAUACGAUCUAUGGAUGAAAGCGGGGGAUCGCAAGACCUCGCGCGAUUGGAGCGGCCGAUAUCAGAUUAGGUAGUUGGUGGGGUAAAGGCCCACCAAGCCAACGAUCUGUAGCUGGUCUGAGAGGACGACCAGCCACACUGGAACUGAGACACGGUCCAGACUCCUACGGAAGGCAGCAGUGGGGAAUUUUGGACAAUGGGCGAAAGCCUGAUCCAGCCAUUCCGCGUGCAGGAUGAAGGCCCUCGGGUUGUAAACUGCUUUUGUACAGAACGAAAAGGUUUCUACUAAUACUAGGAGCUCAUGACGGUACUGUAAGAAUAAGCAUCUACAAACUACGUGCCAGCCGCCGCCGUAA
rnacentral:rRNA from 1 species